UACGAAGGGAGCUAGCGUUGUUCGGAAUUACUGGGCGUAAAGCGUGCGCAGGCGGUUCGCAAAGUCUGAUGUGAAAGCCCCGGGCUCAACCUGGGAACUGCAUUGGAAACUAACGGGCUCGAGUGUGGCAGAGGGGGGUGGAAUUCCACGUGUAGCAGUGAAAUGCGUAGAGAUGUGGAGGAACACCGAUGGCGAAGGCAGCCCCCUGGGCUAACACUGACGCUCAGGCACGAAAGCGUGGGGAGCAAACAGG
rnacentral:rRNA from 1 species